CCCACACCCCCCAGCAGCACGUCUGCUCUGCCUGGUGCCUGCGCUUUACUAAACGGAUAGCCUGUACGGUGGCAGUGGUCGCUCCCAGCACUGCACUUGACAGGGGCCCUCUCCGCCGUUUGAGACUGGACCGAAUUGAACGCGGCGCAAGCGCAAUCCCGCUUCCGGCAAUGGCCCUACCGUCGCGGCGGCAGGUCUAGAGCUGCUGGGCUGAGCCGAAAAUGCCUUGUUUGUAGGGCAUGCAUGCGUGCUGACAUGCAGCGCGACGGGGCCGGGGCUGGGUUGACCCCGAAGGAGAAGCAGCAGAGGUGGCACAACGGAUCGAAUCAUGAAAUCGAAGCGGGGCGAGGAAUGGGGGAUUGAUGAGGGUGAUCGUGUGUCGUGUUCGUGGUGGUGCCGUCUGGCCUGCCUCGGCCUUUAUGGCCGGCCCGCACGGCACGGCAGGGAUCUCGUAAGCUUUUAUCGAAUCGUAGCCUUGAUUGCAACCUUCAUUCAAUCCCGGUCCUCAUUACUCAGUUAACAACCGUCCUCUUCGGACCUGCGCCGUGCUGAUGCUCUAUGCUAUGCUUGCUCGGCUCCUUCAAUUCUCUGCGGCCC
rnacentral:lncRNA from 1 species